rnacentral:rRNA from 1 species
UACAGGGGGGGCAAGCGUUGUUCGGAAUUACUGGGCGUAAAGGGUUCGUAGGUGGCCACUUAAGUCAGACGUGAAAUCCCUCAGCUUAACUGGGGAACUGCGUCUGAUACUGAGUGGCUUGAGUGCAGGAGAGGAAUGCGGAAUUCCAGGUGUAGCGGUGAAAUGCGUAGAUAUCUGGAGGAACACCGGUGGCGAAGGCGGCAUUCUGGACUGUAACUGACACUGAGGAACGAAAGCGUGGGGAGCAAACAGG